rnacentral:rRNA from 1 species
UACGUAGGGUGCAAGCGUUAAUCGGAAUUACUGGGCGUAAAGCGUGCGCAGGCGGUGAUGUAAGACAGGUGUGAAAUCCCCGGGCUUAACCUGGGAACUGCAUUUGUGACUGCAUCGCUGGAGUGCGGCAGAGGGGGAUGGAAUGCCGGGUGUAGUGGUGAAAUGCGUAGAUAUCCGGCGGAACACCGGUGGUGAAGGCGAUUCCCUGGACCGAGGCCGACGCUGAGGCGCGAGAGCGUGGGGAGCGAACCGG